rnacentral:tRNA from 6 species
GGCGGCAUGGCCGAGUGGUAAGGCGAGGGACUGCAAAUCCCUUUUUCCCCAGUUCAAAUCCGGGUGCCGCCU